GAGCUCAGUUGGCUACAGUGUGGCGCUCAUAAUGCCAAGGUUGAAGGUUCAAUCCCUGUAUGGGACA